rnacentral:rRNA from 1 species
UACGUAGGGUGCGAGCGUUGUCCGGAAUUAUUGGGCGUAAAGAGCUUGUAGGCGGUUUGUCGCGUCUGCUGUGAAAAUCCGGGGCUCAACUCCGGAUCUGCGGUGGGUACGGGCAGACUAGAGUGAUGUAGGGGAGACUGGAAUUCCUGGUGUAGCGGUGAAAUGCGCAGAUAUCAGGAGGAACACCGGUGGCGAAGGCGGGUCUCUGGGCCGAAAUUGACGCUGAGGAGCGAAAGCGUGGGUAGCAAACAGG